rnacentral:rRNA from 1 species
AUGGUAUUUGGAGACUUUAAUGAAAUCCUCUUUGCUCAUGAGAAGGAGGGGGAGGCACGGGAGCGGCGUCAGAUGCAAGGGUUCAAAGAUGCUUUGGUUGACUGUAACCUAGAUGAUAUGGGGGCGUUGGGGGACAGCUUUACGUGGAGCAGAGGACGGAUCAAGGAGCGAUUGGAUAGAGCGGUGUGUAACUCACGAUGGAAUAUCCUGUUCCCGCAUGUGGGAGUGCUGAAUUGGGAAAUGACAAAGUCGGACCAUCGACCCUUGGUG